GACUUUGGGGCAAAGUGGGCAAAACUGGCCACCCCAGACUCGGGAAGUUGCCGCUUCUGCCUGUCCCACUCCAUGUGGCCCUGGUGGCUUUGCAGUCCAUAGGGUGCCUCAUCGGCGCAGCCAACCCCCACCUCUCCACUUCCAGGACCCGUUCCAGCCCCGGGCAGGUGGCAGGCAGGGGCGGAGAGGCCCGGCCUGUGACAGGCAGACAGGCCUUGCAGCACCUGAUCCCGGCACCUGGCACCUCCACUCUCCAUUGUCUUGGCACAGGGUACCUGCCAGGAUCACAGUGUCCCAGACACUUGCAAAGGACUCAGGGCCGUCCCAAGGGUGGGCAGGCUGAUCAGAACUCGAGAUGGGUGGUGUCCCCGCCUCGGGGUCUGGCACAGUCUCAGGGGCCGGGAGAGGGUGCCAUGUAUUUCUGAGCAGGACUUUGCAGGGUGGGGGCCCAGGAGGGAGUAGGGAGAGAGCCGCUCUCUGAGAAGGCGUGAGGGGGCCCAGGUUUUGUGACAAAGUCCUGCCCCCGACUCUAAGCCGCACGAGGACAGGAGCGGCGUCUCUCUCGUUGACCGCAGGCUCCCUGGCGCCCAGCACAGCUCCUGGCAAGAAGCCUGCGCUGAAUAAGUAACUGACCGCAGAGAGCGGGCGGGCUGCAGUCCAAGUCGGUUUUACAAUUCCUGCAGUCCGCUGUUGGCCAACCCCUCAACCCGCACACCCACCCUCACUCACCCACACACUCACAGGCACAGGAAAACACACAACGUAGCACGAAGAGUCAUCAGAAGAAGAUUGCCGUGAAUGGUUGUUUACAGUUACUGGAUGCUUCUCAGCCUUCACUUGCUCGGGCUGCAGCGGGUACAUCAGGAUUUCUGGUGCAAACCAGCAAAAAGCAUGUAGGAUGCUCGAGGGGCUGCUGGACACGAAGGGGCUGCUGGACGCGAAGUCGCCAGACGGGGCUAGGCCGGGGCUAGCUCGUGCGAGGUGGGCAAUUGCAGCCUCCUCUCCAAGGCAGGACAAUCCCAGAUUCUUUCACAUCUUAGGAACCGACGUUCGCACAACACCUGUGACUUGUGCAAAGCUCCUUUCUGUUCAUUAUCGUGUUGGAUGGAUCAUCACGAUAUCAGCCCCAGAGGGAAAGCCAUCACCCUGUUCUGCAGUAGGAAGCGCAGGCCCAGAGAGGUCCCGGCUUCCAGUGGCCAAGUUGGUAGCAGAGUCAGGACUCAGAUGCCCGGCUCCCCCCCAGUAUGCGGCCUCCCGGCCUCCCCAUGAGUCAGCUGUCACGAGUUCUGGGCCCUGCACCUCCGGUCCCCUCACAGCCACCAAGUGCCUAAUCCCGGGACCCUGAGUACAGCCAGGACGAGUGGCCCCCCGGUUCACAUGUUGCUGCUUCUCUCUGCCAGGACCUGCGCUCUUUCCCUGAGAGCCAUUCCCCUCUGACUCCCACCCCGACACACACUCUGUUCACAUCGCACUAAGUUGGAAACAACCAAAGAAAAUGGUUAAGCAAACUCCUACGGCAACGUGAGCGAACACGCGGGACAUGCUGACGGCUGGCAGGACACCUUGCAUCUCAGAGGACCAACACGGGACCCGGCCUACAGGAGGGGGUGGCCUGCAGAGAGAGCGCCGCCUUGCUCUGGGGGAUGCCAGCCUGCAGGGAGCAGGCGGGUGUGAAAGGCGCCAACCGAGGCUCCCCUGGGACCCGGGGACAGUGCACUUCACAGACAGACCACACUCAAGGCGUCUCCGCUGACUCCUUAUCUCGGCGGCCCUCCACCCUGCCCUGCUCCCCUCCCGUGCUCCCCGUCCUGGCGGCUGGCACCACCACUCCCCACGGCUUCCCAGGCUGCGGGCCCUGGCCCUGGCCCUGCCUCUGGCUCUCACUCCGCCCUGCUUCGCACCCUGUGCCACACCCGCCCUGAGAUAUUCACAGUUCCCGGAAGAUGCCAAGCUGUGUUGCUGCCCUGCCUUUUCCCAUGCUCUUCCUUCCACCCAGGAUCCGUCUCUACCUUGUCCGGCUGCUCAUCUGUCAAGAGUCAGCUUAAGCAGCGUCGCCCUCUGUGAACCCUUUCUGCUCAUCCCUUCCUCCCCGCCCCG